AUGCGUGGCCUCCGCUCCUUUUCUAUUUACCGUUUCUAUCUGGUUUCUGUCUGGUAUAAAUACAACGGUGCUGCCUAUUUCUGUUUCGGCUUUGUACAUGGGCCUACGAUUUCUGUACUAGCGUGCACGCACAAGAUGUUCGGUCCAUGCGGCUUCAAAUUUGGCCCACCUCGCGCGCUGGCGAGGUUGGUUGGUGAGAAAAAUAAAUGUGUGGUUGCUGGGCCCGCUCGGCGACAGCAGCGUCGACCAUUAAGCGGCGCAUGUUCGUGUUUGGGCCCCAGAAAGUGGACGGCACCGCGCGGGGCGGGGGGCGGCAGCGCCGCUUCCCGCCAUGGACGGCAUGGAGUUCUUCUUCGAGGAAUCUGCAGCAGGGUUCGUGCCGCGGUUGGACAGCAGAGUUUGCUUAAGGGAUCUCGUUGCCGGUGA
rnacentral:rRNA from 1 species